UUACGGAAAAAAAAAAAAAAAAAAAAAAAAAAAAAAAAAAAAAAAAAAAAAAAAAAAAGAAAGUCUGGCACGCUUUCCAGAGCGCUUUUUAGGCCAAAAUUUCGAGGGGUGAAAUUUUUUUUUCCCUAUCGUUUUGUUAGGUUUUUUUAAAGAGUUUUGAGACCCUCGCCAUCAUAGUGAUUUUUUCGCAUUUUUUUUUGGCCGCCGCAGCCCCGCACCGCUACAAAAAAAAAAAAAAAAAAGUGUCCACAAAAAAUUUCGUCCCUAUCCUGUUUUUAGUCCUUGGGAAGAGUUUUGAGCCACUCGCCAUUAUAGUGAUUUCCUGAAGAAAAAAAAAAAGAAAAAAAAGAAAAAAAAAAGAAAGAAUCAGAGUGGCUCUUCCCUUGAUUAGUACGUGUCGUCGUGACUUCGUUG
rnacentral:lncRNA from 1 species